rnacentral:rRNA from 1 species
UACGUAGGGUGCGAGCGUUGUCCGGAAUUACUGGGCGUAAGAGCUCGUAGGUGGUUGUCGCGUUGUUCGUGAAACUCACAGCUUAACUGUCGGGCGUGCGGGCGAUACGGGCAGACUGGAGUAUUGCAGGGAGACUGGAAUUCCUGGUGUAGCGGUGGAAUGCGCAGAUAUCAGGAGGAACACCCGUGGCGAAAGCGGCUCUCUGGAACGGUACUGACGCUGAGACGCGAAAGCGUGGGAGCGAACAGG